CUGCAGGAUGGAUGGGGUGAUGGUUCAGGACACAAGUUGUGGGGCCAAGAAGGCCCACACAUGUUGACAGGACACUUGUGACAGUUUUUCUCACAGGAUAGGAAUAAAUUGAGGGAUAAAUGGCGUCAAAGCUGAGAGAGGGAGGUCAGGGGGAGCAGGCUGUGGGCUGCCUGUGUCAGGUAAGAUAGGAAAGAGGAGGAUGCAGCUUCCUACUUUCCCUGUGUUGCUCCAUCUUCAGUGUUUCACAGUAUGCCAACAGUGGGAUGCAAGGAGCAAUCCCAUCAGGUUCAGCCCAAGUUCUGGUUUGUCCUGUAAAGCUGCUCACUGCCAGGUAAUGAUCCCUGGAGAUUGCUGGUGUUUGUCACCCCCAGCUAUUGGGGGGUGACCCAGGCCAGUCCUGCUGCAUACUGUCUUUCCCAGGGCUGCUCCCUCUGAUUUGGGACUCACAUGGGUGCACUGGGGUGACCCUGCCUGUGUAUUCCCUGCAGACACCGAGCAUGGGAUGAGCCCCAGGCACUGGGUGAGAAUUUGGGUGUUUUUACACCACCUGCUCCCUCUUCCCCAUGUUUGAAAUGUGACACUGGCAAUUCCUGUCAAGCAGAGCUCCUUCCUGGAGUUCCUCUGUGCCCUGUGUGAAACCCAGCCUGGCCAAAUGUCCCUGGUCUGCUGGACACACCUCAACUGCCCAGUCUAGACAGGACCUGGGCAAGGGGGGUAAUUAAUCUCUCCCACAGGCCUCAAACUGGAGGCACUACAAAUGAGUCAUUCCAAAUGACCCAGGUGUAAUAAAUGAGUUCUAAAUAAUUCAGAGGCUGUGCAGAUUUGGUCUGGGCAGGGCUUUGGUGGAAGCUAGCAGCAACUGAAGGCUAUUCUUGGAAAGCUUUAGAAAUCCCUGUGAGCAUUUAGAUCCUGCCAGAUGCAUGACUGUGCUGGUCCCUGGGAGAAUAUGUCCCUGAAACCAAGUGGAUGCUGUUCCACAUCAGCAGAGAGGGAUGCAGGAGGUAAAUAUCUGCUGGAUUCUUACUGUCCCAGGCCUGGCUGUGCCCUGAGUGUGUCCUGGAAGCUGCAGUGCUGACUAAGCAAGGAGCCAAACACCUCAGAAGCACUUCAAGUUACCUGUGAGUUACCAAACAAUCUCUGCAGGCUUCAUUUAUGUUCCUAUAAUAAGCAGGAAUAAGUUUUCCCAGGGUUAUCCCAGCUGGAGAUGACACUGACAAGUCAGGAGAGCAGUCCCUGUGCCCCCAGUGCCUUUUUAGUUAUGUCAGGAGCCACCCAGAUUUACAGGUCACUGGCUGGGUUUGGGGGAGGAAGGGCACAUGUGGGAAAAUGGUGAAAUGCUCAAAAGGUGGAGAAACAAGGCGCUGCAAUAAUCUUGUCCUCUGAAAAUAUAUAAAGGAAGCAAUUCCCUUCAGGAUGAGAUCUCUGGUGCUGCUGCUGAGGGAAGAGUGUUGCUGUUUCCAGAGGAGGAAAUGAUGGCUGAGCCUUCAGGGGGCUGUGAGGAACUUUGGUGUUGUUCUUCCCUUUCCACAGUGGCCUGCCCUCCCUAUGCUGUUUAUGCUCCCUGUUUACCUCUUCUCCCAGCUCUUGGCAGCCAGGUGGGGAACAUCCAUAGCUGGCUGUGGCUGUUGCUUGCUGCCACUUGAGGUGGUUCAGGUGAACCUGGUGACAAAGUGUAUCCUGGGAAUCCAUGAUGGGGGAGAGGAGGUGGAGCUGUUGGACAGGAGUUCUGUGUCCAUGCUUGUGCAUCUCUGUUGCUGUAGCAACAGCACUGGGAGUAAACAGCAAUGAGCUGGCUUUCCAGGGAUUCUGAAUCCCUCUGGAAGUUCCAGGAACUUGAACCAGAGAAGUUUUUUGGGCUGAGAUCUGCCCAGGGUUGCAGGGUGGUGGAUUUUCCAUGUUUUAGCCAUUGCUCUGUACGUGCUGCCCCCACACACCCUUUGAGGUCAAGGAGGAGGCUCUGUGAGCUUUGUUCAUGCUGGUCCUCAGGGCUGGGAGCUGAGUGCAUAAUCCUGUUGUGUUUUAGCCAGUCCUGACAGAGUCUGGGAGAAAAUACCACUUAAAAAAAGUCCUCCUUGUUCUUCCAUGUACCCCUGGCUCCUGGGAGCUGUAAUCUUGGGAUAGAGCUGAGGCAGCUGGAAGUGGAAAGGAGAGGGCUGGCAGUGCAUGCUCCUUUAAGUACUCCUGUGGUCCAGCUUUUCUCAGGCUGGGUGAUGGGACAGAGCUGGCAACAGGUUUUGGAAGAGCUGGAUUGGGACACUGAGAAAUUCGGAGGGUGAGCACUUCUCUCAAUAACAAAAAAAAAAAAAUUAUUAAAAAAUCCAAGUUAGCCCUGUGAUCUCCCAGUGUGCUGGAGACAGGUCCCCAGCAAGGAAUGAAGUCACUCAGGGCUGGCCUGCUACUACUGGAUCAGCUGAGUGCAUAUGGCUCUGUCUGUCCCUUGUCCUGGGUCUCUGCCUCCUGGUCUCUGUGGGGCUUAGUGGUGGGAAUAUGGAUUAAAUGCGUAUAAUUUUCAAGCCAGCCUUUUUUGGAGCAGUUUGGUCUAUUUUGUUCCAUUUGGGGGGGAUUCUGUUGCCUUCCUGCACAAAGCAAUAGGAGGAGCAGAGCUGGUACUGCUCAUCUACGUUACUGCAUAGGGCACGUGCUGGGGACACUUGACAGGGAAAGGGCUGCACACAGGGGUUUUUUUCUUGGAUUUCUUCUGAUUGGGAAGGGGUGGGAUGUAAUUCAAGGGGUUUUCUCAGUCUUCUCCAGAAUUAAGAGGGCUGAAUGCCAAAGGAUAGCUUUUAGCACUGAGGGUCAGUGUUCAGCCUUGAAAUGGUGUGGAGUGUUUGAUGGUCCUUCAAGAGCUUCUCCAGGCUUGCAUGGAAUCCAGGCAGGAUUUCUCCCAGUGCUGUGGCUGGUGGUGGAAAUCGGCAGUCUGGGGGUGAGAAGUGCCAUCAAAGCCCUUUGGGACAGUGGCUGUGUGUGACAGAGGCUGCAGGUGACUGGAGUGAGGAGCUGUAUCCUUUCGUAGGAGCAGCGCAUCCUUUUUGGGACUGCUGCCAGAGCUGCCCAUCUGUGAUCUGAUCUAGCAUGUUCCUCUGCCUGGUGGUUUUGCUGCUGUGGCUGGUCAGUGUGUGGUUUGGGAGCAGCUGUGGAGCUCUGCUUGGCCCCUCCAUCCUCCCUCCCCUCCUGCCUUGCUCCAAUUCCUCAAUUACUCCUCGUGUGCGUUCGAUUUUGUAACCCAAAAGUGCAAACCAAAGCGUUCUCCCCGGUCAUUCUGAAGUGCUGCCAGCCUUGCUCGUGAUAGGAAUCCCUCCUGGAGCUGGCAAGCCUGGAAGAGCUCCAGUUUUGUGUAGAUCCUGUUUGCUCAUUGCUCGUCAGCCUGGUGCUUUGAGUCUGUCUUUAUCCAGGGAUGUGCCACCUGGGAUACACCCAUUCAGCACUCCAGCUUUUGAGAGGAAUGGGAGGUGGUGAGGGGCAUUACACCUGAGUUAAGCUCAGUGGUUCCUCUUGUCCUGAGUCUCUCAAGGGGACUGUACCUGUUCUUUAGAUCCUAAGUGGUGCUUCCCAUGUCUGGGGGAGCAGGGAGUCCAGGAUUGAAGGUGGGAGAGGCACAGAGGGCAGGAACCUGCUGCCGCUGUGCUGUGCUGGUGCUCCAGAGCUUAGAGCCCAGCCCAGGAGCUGAAGUGGGAGGUGCAGACUUGGAGGGGAGAGGGAUAUAGAAAAGAAAAGCUCUUGUGCUUAAGAUAAGCAGUGACCUGGCAGGCUGCUGAUUGGGUGUCAUAAUCUUGGUGCCUUGGUUCUUCACACUCUAUCUGGAAACACUGGCAAGGGCAGAUCUUCCCUGCAUAGCCCGUUCUGGCAUUGGCACCUGCUGUGCCCUGGGUUUGUCUGAUCACAGCCUGGCUGCUUCCCUGCUUGUCCAUCCUCCUGUCAGGCUGCCUUGUGUCUUCCUGGAGAAAUGGAUGUUGUUCUUCCCACUUUGCCACUGCUAAAAUUGCUGGGGAUUCUCAGCACAAGGUCUCAGAGGCAGAAUUCUGGACUUGCCUCAGGUACUCGCUAGAGAUCAGAACACCCUUCGAGAGAUUCAACUGUUGCAGGUCUGGAUUUAUCUAGGCAAGAGCCACAGUUGUUUGCUGUAAAAAUAUGUGAAAAGUUAAAUUCCUUAACUGAGGAGAGUUGAGCUGGUUGAUUUAUUAUCAAUUUGGGUGCAUUUCAGCAGAGUAAACCUGCAAAGGGAUGGGGCGAUGAAGAAAUGCACUGGUAGGUCACACUGUUCUAUGGAUACACUGGGAGCCAGGAAAAGUUAAAACCUGCAACAGGGAAUUUUGGGAUUGGAAAUGGAGGUGAAACUUUCUGCAUUCUUCAUGUCAAAGGAGUAGAAGAGAGUUGUGGGAGGCUUCACACGGGCAAGCUGCUCUGGAAAGACAGCAAGCAGAGGGAGAGGAAAAGUGAGAGGGGUGCUCUGGUCUCCUGAGGGGGAAGGAGCUGUGGCAUAGCAGGAAGAGGUUCCUGGUGACUGGGAGAUGGAGCUGAGGGAGGGGAUGGCAGCAGACAGGACAGGAAGUGACUAAAAUACUGUGGUGUGUGUUGGUUUCACUCUUUAAAUACAUGAGGCUCUUUCAGCGAAAGGACGGCUUGUUCUUUUUUUCAAAUGUGACCUUGUACUCGUUCUUCCCUCAAAAACCUCACAGGAGAGGAGUUUUCUGGCUCUCUUCAGCUGACUGUCAGCUCCUUUGCUGUUAGAAGGAGCUGUGCUCCAUGGAGGCAGCACUUGCUGAUGGAAAGAGGUUUCCAAGGGAGGAUUUUGGAGAGCGUCACUGUGGCGAUUCAUUAGGUGCUUUCCCUGGAAUCCUUGGGUGAAGGAGAAUGCAGGUGAAAUAAUCAGAAUAGAAGAGAUAGGAAGCACAGAUAUUAAUCCUACUGACAGCUAUUUCCUCCAAUAAUUGAAUGGUACCCAGGAGGUUCAGAAAGAAAUGGUGAAGGACAGCUGUCUUAGGUGGGAAUUGCUGGCUCUCUGGUCUUGGAGGAUGAAUAAAGAAAGUGCCUUUAUCUUGACCCUGCCUGACACAGAGAGAAAAGGUUUGGACCACUUCCUUAGUAAAACUCUCAGCAGGAUGAAAAAUGCCUGAAUCCUAAGAGAAAGCUGGGAAAACAAAGUGAUCUUUAAAUAUUGCUGCUUAAUGCUGAAUGCUGAGGUUGUCCCACAGAUAGUGUAAUGUGCCUGACUCUGUGCCCUUGCUUCACUGGAGCUGAACUUCACCCACAACGUUGUCACAGGUGGCAGUUCUGGGGACAUCUGCUGAUCUCAUUUUGGGAAGCUCUAUGUCCCUGGCUGAACUGGUUGAUACUGGAAGGUCUCCCAAUAGUGGAGUCACUCCCAGGAAGAAGCAGUUCUGGUCUAAGAGUCCAGGACUGUGAGUUGCUGAUGUUCUCUGGAUGGGCUGUAGGAAUGUGCUGGGAAGGGAUACUCGGCCAAGCUCUGUCCCUAGCACAGGCUGUGGGACAAGGGGAGCCAGCUCUUCCUGGGAAGAAGUCCAACUUGGUGCUGUCAGAAGGAUUGGCACAGCUCUGUGUGUGCAAUAGUGGCAAGGUAAGGUUGGCAUUAGCUUGUCAUGGCUUUGCAGGUGUCACAUGUAGCCAUUUAUUUAUUCAGGCAGCAAUUUCCUGUGUGGCACAUGAGAAGAAAAGGGGUUUUGGAGCAUCCACUGAGCACAUCUGUCCUCGUACAGAGACCCAGUUUGGGGACAUGGGGUCUGUGGUUUGUGUCACUGUGCCAUGAGGAAGCUGCAGACUCCAGGAGGGGAAGACUCCCGCAGAUGCUGCCUCUCCCAUAACGCAUGCCUGGAAGCACAGAAGCCUUUCCUUCCUCCUGCCUGCUCUGGGGCCCUGAAAUAUUGUUUUUCCCCACCCUCCCAAGACAACAAUGACUUGAAAGCAGUGUGGCCCCGGCUGGGUCCGAUGGGAUGGGAGCUGUUUGCAUUGUGCUUUUGGGUCCUCAGCCGCAGCUGGGAUCCUGCUCUCCUCAUGCUGGGCCAAUUAGAAGGCCAGACUCUUCCCUGCCCAAGGGAGCAGGCGAAGCUGAUCUGCCUGGGAGCUUGAGGGGGUUUGUGGCUGAUGCUUUGCUGAUGACAGGAGCAAUAGACUUUGGAAUUUGCUUGGCUGGAGGACACAAUCCUCUUCCUUCUGUGUUUUGCAUCCCUGUUUCCUCAUUGCAAAGGGAUUCAAGUUUAAGGUGUUCCUGCCUGUUUCCUGGUGUUUGCACUUCUGUGGUGUGGCUGCCUUAUCAUGGAGUGGUUUGGGUUGAAGGUUCCAACCUGUUUGCUUUGGAGGCUGUGUUGUGAAGGAGAUCUGGGAAAAGUCUGAGCAGGUCCCUGAUCCCACAGUGCAUCUCCAGCAUCCACCCAUGGCACCAGUAGGAUCCGAAUCAGGCCCAGCCACGUGGUCAUAUUUCUGUUGAAUGAGCUGCUCUACACAAUCCCCAGAGCCUGGCCUGGUGCCACUUCCAGAAGGACAGACAAUGCCUGGUCACCCUGCCUGUGGCUGGAGCUGCAUUCCAGCCUGGAUAUCCCAAGGUUUGUCCUCAAAUGGGACUCACCUGAGUUCCAGCCCCGUACAGUAACCCCUGCUCCUGGUUAAGUGUAGCCAAGGGAGUCAAAUACAAUCUAUUAAGGGACUGGUUUGGACAUAAGCCUCUUCUUGCCAGAUUUUUCAUGCCAAACCUUUUCCUCCCAAAAGGUGAGGUUUUGAAUCCAGCAAAGGCAAAGGAGCUGCUUUUCCCCCUAGAAGUGAGUGUCUGGAGUAAGGGAGCAGGUCAAAAAGCAACCUGAUCCUGCAUUGAGCAGGACCCACUUGAUCCCAAAGCAGGUGAGACCACGGACUGCAGAAUCCUCCUCUUCAUUGUGCACAUCCUCCUUCUGACAGAGAGCUGCCUGCUGGGAUCUGUAGUCCUAGAAUUGCCUUGGAUUGGGAAGAGUGAAACGCUGGUCAUGCUGGAAGGUGAUUCACAUCCUUACCUGGCAUAGGUGUGCCUUGAACUUCCCUGCUGUGGUUUAGUAAGGAAUAGAAUGAAGUGGGCCUUUCCCCACAAUGCUGGGUUCUUCAGGAAAAGCUGAGUUUGAGGUUUGCUUAUUGUCCCUAAAUCCUGCUCAGGGCGGACCCCUCUCUGCUCUGUACCCUCAUUUUAAACCUGAGUACCAUGCAGGCUUCAUGGAUUCCAUGAUUUUUAAGGGUAAGUGCUUUAUGAGGUGGG